rnacentral:rRNA from 1 species
UACGUAGGUGACAAGCGUUGUCCGGAUUUAUUGGGCGUAAAGAGCUCGUAGGCGGCUCGUCGCGUCGACCGUGAAAACCGCGGCUUAACUGCGGGCUUGCGGUUGAUACGGGCAGACUUGGAGUUCGGCAGGGGAGACUGGAAUUCCUGGUGUAGCGGUGAAAUGCGCAGAUAUCAGGAGGAACACCGGUGGCGAAGGCGGGUCUCUGGGCCGAAUGACUGACGCUGAGGAGCGAAAGCGUGGGGAGCGAACAGG